rnacentral:rRNA from 1 species
CCUACGGGUGACAGCAGUGAGGAGUAUUGGUCAAUGGACGAGAGUCUGAACCAGCCACGCAGCGUGAAGGAUGACUGUCCUAUGGGUGUUAAGUUUUUUUUAUAUGGGAGUAAAUUGUUCCACGUGUGGGAUUUUGUACUGACCAUACGAUUACGGAUCGGCUAAAGCCGCGCCAGCAGCCGCGGUAAUACGGAGGAUCCGAGCGUUGUCCGGAUUUAUUGGGUUGAAAGGGAGCGUAGGGGGAUUGGUAAGUCAGUUGUGAAAGUUUGGGGCUUAACCAUAAAAUCGCAGUUGAAACUGGCAGUCUAGAGUAAGGUAGAGGUAGGCGGAAUUCGUGGUGAAGCGGUGAAAUGCUUAGAUAUCACGAAGAACACCGAUUGCGAAGGCAGCUUACUGGACCGAAACUGACACUGAGGCACGAAAGUGUGGGGAGCAAACAGGAUUAGAUACCCGAGUAGUC